GAUGAACGCUAGCGGGAGGCCUAAUACAUGCAAGUCGAACGGUAACAGGGUAGCAAUACCGCUGACGAGUGGCGCACGGGUGCGUAACACGUACACAAUCUACCUUAUACUGGAGCAUAACCUCGGGAAACUGAGGCUAAUUCUCCAUAACAUAUUAAAAAGGCAUCUUUUUGAUAUUAAAACUACCGGUGGUAUAAGAUGAGUGUGCGUCUGAUUAGCUAGUUGGUGGGGUAACGGCUCACCAAGGCAACGAUCAGUAGCUGGUCUGAGAGGAUGAUCAGCCACACGGGCACUGAGACACGGGCCCGA
rnacentral:rRNA from 1 species